AUUCCACUGCCGUCUCCAUCAUCAUCACCACCGUCACCAUUAUCACCAUCAUAACCAUCACUUAUCACCAUCACCAUUCACCACUUACCAUCACCAUCACCAUUCACCAUUUACCACCACCAUCACCAUCACCAUCAUCACCGUCAUCACCACCAUAACCAUCACUGUCAUCACCAUAAUCAUCACUUAUCACCAUCAUCAUUCACCACUUACCACCACUAUCAUCACCAACACCAUCAUCAUCACCACUACCAUCAUCACCAUCACCAUCCCCAUUCACUACUUACCACCACCAUCAUCACCAUCACCAUCACCAUUCACCACUUACCACCACCGUCAUCACCAUCACCAUCACCAUUCACCACUUACCACCACUAUCAUCACCAUCACCAUCAUCAUCACCACUACCAUCAUCACCAUCAUCAUCACCAUCAUCAUUCACCACUUACCACCACCAUCAUCACCAUCACCAUCAUCAUUCACCACUUACUACCACUAUCAUCACCAUCACCAUCACCAUUCACCACUUACCACUACCAUCAUCACCAUUCACCACUUACCACCACCAUCGUCACCAUCACCAUCAUCAUCACCAUCACUAUCACCAUCACCAUUCACCACUUACCACCACCAUCAUCACCAUCACCAUCAUCAUCACCAUCACUAUCACCAUCACCAUUCACCACUUACCACCACCAUCACCAUCACCAUCAUCACAGUCAUCACCAUCAUAAUCAUCACUAUCACCAUCACCAUUCACCACUUACCACCACCAUCACCAUCACCAUCAUCACUGUCAUCACUACCAUAACCAUCACUGUCAUCACCAUAAUCAUCACUGUCACCAUCACCAUUCACCACUUAAACCACCACCAUCAUCACCAACACUACCACCACUACCACCUCACUUAAUUUAUGUAUCACUUCUUAUGUACCAGACCUUUGGAGAAAUCCCUUAAAUUGGUCAUCUCCUUUAAUCUCAGGGGGCAGAUAUUCUGCCUGUUUUACAGAUGAGAAAACAGAAGUCUCGGUAAGUAACAGAACUAGGACUUGAAGCCAGGACUUGGAGUCCACUCUCAUAGCCAUACCUUUUUAUUUAGGGGCUUUAAAUAUAUACAGUACUGUUAAGAUUUUAUAGGAUAAAAGGAUGAAAGGAGACGUCAACUCUGUACUUUUGUCAAGAGAAAUGUUUGAGGAUGCAAUAAUUUUGAGUUUGAAGACUGGCCCAUGGGGAUUUCCUUUCCCAUGUGGCUGGCAAAUGGGGAGA
rnacentral:lncRNA from 1 species